rnacentral:rRNA from 1 species
CCCUUAGAUGUUCUGGGCCGCACGCGUGCUACACUGAGUAAUUCAAUGGGUAAGGGAACGCUAGAGCAUUACCUAAUCUUGAAAUUUGCUCGUGAUGGGGAUCGACGGUUGCAAUUUUCCGUCGUGAACAAGGAAUACCUUGUAGGCGCAUGUCAUCAUCAUGCGCCGAAUACGUCCCUGCCCUUUGUACACACCGCCCGUCGCUCCUACCGAUUGAGUGAUCCGGUGAGGCUCUGGGACCUGGACGGAAAGAGCGUUUCGCUUGUUCUGUUUGGGAAACUUGGUCGAACCUUAUCAUUUAGAGGAAGGAGAAGUCGUAACA